rnacentral:rRNA from 1 species
CCUACGGGAGGCAGCAGUGGGGAAUAUUGGGCAAUGGGCGCAAGCCUGACCCAGCAACGCCGCGUGAAGGAAGAAGGCUUUCGGGUUGUAAACUUCUUUUGACAGGGACGAGCAGAAUACGGUUCCUGUCGAAUAAGCCACGGCUAACAUCGGGCCAGCAGCCGCGGUAAUACGUAGGGGGCAAGCGUUGUCUGGAUGUACUGGGGGUAAAGGGCGUGGAGCCGGGCUGACAAGUCAGAUGUGAAAUCCGGGGGCUCAACCCACGAACUGCAUUUGAAACUGUUAGUCUUGAGUAUCGGAGAGGAAAGCGGAAUUCCUAGUGUAGCGGUGGAAUGCGUAGAUAUUAGGAGGAACACCAGUGGCGAAGGCGACCUGCUGGACGACAACUGACGGUGAGGCGCGAAAGCGUGGGGAGCAAACAGGAUUAGAUACCCGAGUAGUC